AGCCAACACCGAAUCCCAUUGUUUGCACAUUGCUUUUAGUUUUGUUAGGGUUUCGUUAUUUUUGUUUUUCUGUUUCUUUUGCAUUACAUUUUUUUGUCUAAUGUAUUCGUUUUUUGUUUUCCAUAAACCUCAAAAGUGUGUUCCUUGGCUGCGGCAGUGGGAGUUAAUGAGUAUAGAAAUGGUUAUGGUGGACGUGAUCAUACACCUCUUUGUGGACGUGAUAAUAGACUCAUGCAAGAAUCGUGAAAUCAUGUUUUCAGUGUGUUCAGCGGAUGCGUUAGUGGGAUUUAAUGAGUAUUGAAAUGGUUAUGCUGGACGUGAUAAUAGACUCAUGCAAGGUAUAGAAUCGUGAAAUCAUGUUUUCUAGUAUUCAUGGUAUAUGUUAUCUUGAUUUUGUUUGUAGAUAUACUCCCCGCAUGGGAAAGUCGCAUUUAAAGGUUGUUUAUUUAUGGAAUUUCUAAUGUUGUAAUCGAGUAUAUAUUUCGAUUUAUUAACCAUGAAUUUUAACCGAAUUAGGAUCUUGGUUAUUGGUUUUGGGAUU